rnacentral:rRNA from 1 species
GCAAUCUACCUUAGUUACAGGGAUAGCCCGAGGAAACUCGGAUUAAUACCUGAUAUUCUUUACUUCUCGCAUGAGAAUAAAAGGAAAGGUCAGCCGAACUAAGAUGAGCUCGCGUUCUAUCAGCUAGUUGGUGAGGUAAAAGCUUACCAAGGCUACGACGGAUAGCUGGUCUGAGAGGACGAUCAGCCACACUGGGACUGAGACACGGCCCAGACUCCUACGGGAGGCUGCAGCAGGGAAUAUUGUGCAAUGAACGAAAGUUUGACACAACGACACCGCGUGUGGGAUGACGGAUCUAGGUUUGUAAACCACUUUCAGGAGGGAAGAAAAUGACGGUACCUCCACAAGAAGCCCCGGCCAACUACGUGCCAGCAGCCGCGGUAAUACGUAGGGGGCGAGCGUUGUCCGGAUUUAUUGGGCGUAAAGAGCUCGUAGGCGGUUCAACAAGUCGGUCGUGAAAGUUCAGGGCUCAACCCUGAAAUGUCGAUCGAUACUGUUGUGACUAGGAUACGGUAGAGGUGAGUGGAAUUCCGAGUGUAGCGGUGAAAUGCGUAGAUAUUCGGAGGAACACCAAUUGCGAAGGCAGCUCACUGGGCCGCUAUCGACGCUGAGGAGCGAAAGCUAGGGGAGCAAACAGGAUUAGAUACCCUGGUAGUCCUAGCUGUAAACGAUGGAUACUAGAUGUAGGAACUGGAUUGACGGUUUCUGUAUCGCAGCUAACGCGUUAAUAUCCCGCCUGGGA